rnacentral:lncRNA from 1 species
AAAUCUUACCCAUCCAUUCCAUCUUGAUCCAAAAGAUCUCAUUCACUCUCUGCCCUAGGUACUUAAAGCCUUAUAUCCCUAAAACUUUGCCCAUUGUUUCCCAUACCUCUUCUCUUCUUCCUCUCUCUUUUCACUCUUUCCCCUCUCCCUUAAACCUCUGUCAGCUCCGCCCACCACCAUCGUUCGUCGCUCGCCGAAAAUCUCCCACUGACGGCCAGUCACCUCUAAUCACCACCAAAAUUUCACCCCCUUAAUCUCAACCUCCUCUUUCCGAUUCCAACCUCCAAAUCCUCUAAAUCCUCACCAAUCUCCACAAAUCCGGCCAAAUCCGAAACCCUAGCCACCCAAAUUUUCCUCUUUUCUUUCUCGAAUUAGUGACAAAUACGACCACCACACCACACAAAUAUUACAUAGACGUGUAUAUCUCAAGUAGAUCUACACUUUCCCUCUAGAUUCACCCCAAAAGCACCACCACCAUCGUCGACCGCUCUGAUGCUGUCCACCACCGAACUGCCAUACCUUCCUCCAGUUUUCCUCCCCUACUCUUAAGCAUUCUUUUCUUUGUGAUACGAUGAUGGCGCCAAGGUUGUGGGUUCAAGGAUGGCCGAACCAUCAUCUAUCAUCAAUAAAAGGGUUCUCGAAGGUCGGAAUCGUCGCCUCGAGUAGUGCUAAAUACCAAAUAUCGUCCUUUUGCAUUAUUUUUCUUAUUCUAGACCAGCAUGCCAUGCUUUGGGUUUAAAUUCAUCUUUUGUAAUUUUGACAUUCAAUUGUUGGUCUUUACUGAUUAUUAGUGCUCGAAUGUGAUCGAUCCAUGUGUUAGUAUAGUUAUAUUUGGAAUUCUUAUUGUCCGACCUAGCCGGUCAAUUAUAUCCCUUGCCAAUGUGUUAUGCUAGUCCAAAUCGAAAUUAACUAGCCGCUUAGUUCAUUGUUAAUGUCACCAUUGAAGAUUUGUCAGUUAAGCAAUUACUACUAGUCAAUGAUUCGGUUGUUCAGUUGUUAGUUCGCAUAAUUUAUUUUGGUUUAAUCUAGUUAGUUGAAGUAUUUAGGUUAGUUACGACUGAAGUUAUGUUUGCUUUGUAAAUUCAAUUAGUGAGUUAAGUUCUAGUUCUAUCACGACCCAAUUUCUCCUAUAGGUCGUGAUGGCGCACAACGUCACCGCUAGGCAAGCCAACGAUGAACUGGACAUGAAAUAGUUAAUUUUUAUUUAUUAAGUAAAUAGGAGGUGAAAAAUUUAAUAAAAUAAAGCGUAAACAAAUAUAAGAGCAAGUGUGGUGACAUAAAUACUCAAGCCAUCAAAUAUCUACUAGCAUAUUUCCAAGACUUGGUGUCACAAGUGUGUGAGCCACUAGUAAAAUAUAUAAAACACUAAACUACUGUCUGAAAUAGAAUAGACAGUAAGAAAAUGCAAAAAAGAGAGACUCUCGGUGCUGCAGAACGGACUCGGAAAGCAGCUCACCACUAAGCCUCGGGGUAUCGAGGAUGCGCGCCGGAAUAAUUGCCAGAUGCACCGGCCUCAGAUCCUGCACGAUUAGUGUAAAAGUGUAGCGUGAGUACAUAAACAACAUGUACCCAGUAAGUAUCCAGUCUAAACUCGAAGAAGUAGUGACGAGGGGUCGACAUCGACACUUAAUAUGGGCCAAUAAUAAAAUGCAGAAAUUCUAAACUUGCAUGGAAUAAUAAUAACAACACAAUAGCAGACAGUGAAUAAAUGAUUCUUUACUGAUAAUUAAUUUCAAAAUCUUCAUCUAACACAUACUAGUUCCAAAUCACUUUCAGUCAUUAAAUAAAUUAUACCUCUCAAGCCAUAACAUAAUAUCAAGUGUAAUCGGGUUCCGAGUAUUAUCACGCACGAUUUAUGUCGAGAUCGUACGACCCGAUCCAAAAUGUUGUGUGUGCUGCCGAGGGUUGAACGACACGAACCAUAAAUGCAUCUAUUAUACUGCCGAGGUGAACGGACCGCUCCUAUGAGAAUAGCGAAGUUUACCUCGCUCGCAGAAGUACUUGCGAUGCGAGAGGACAUGGAUUUCUCAGAGUUAUUAACUAUUCUUCAAUUCUUUCCCCAAAAUAAGAAAUCUAAAUUGGAAGUUUUCAACUUUAAAAUCUCUAGUCUCAACUUUAUAUAAGAUAAUUAAUAUGCAUAACAAACAUGACAGUACAAUUAAAGCAUGAUGUGAAUCUAAGACUACCCAGACAUCUUAUGGAAUAAAGCUACGCAUAGACCCUCAUCACCUAGUGCGUACGUAGAUCCCCACACAAGUAAUUCACAAUAAAAAUACACCUAAGGGGAUGAGUUCUCUCUUACAAGGUUAGGUAAGAGACUUACCUCGCUCUCAAGCUCACUUCCGGUCAACAAAUACGCCCUAAAUCCUCAACUAGGCUGAAACGUGAGAGCUUUGAGUGAGUUUUUCGAAAACAAAAAUACUUCAAAGAACAAAGGUCCUUGAAGUUUAGUUUUUGGGUCUUCUCUCCCUAAACAUUUGUUGAGAUUCGAGGUCUAUUCGAGUUGGUUUAUCUGGUUCUUUGUUCUGUUGUUUGAUGUUGUUCCUUUGUUGUUUGUUAAUGUCACUGCUGCUGAUUUUUAGUUCAUCCAUUUCUGACAUUUUUUUCGUUAUCCAGAUAAUUCCUUUAAUGUACUGAAAUCCUUGAUCAAGAAUGAAUGCAAGUGAUACAAUUUGAGUUCUUCAGUGUAUUUUGAGCUUUGAAAACAUUCAAACCGAACCGCUUUAAGUAUCCCUCAAGUAGACUUGAGGUCUUGUACCAAACAUUCAAACUUGAGGUUUGCUUUCAUGUACCAAUAAUAGAUAUUUAGAAGGUCUUGUAAUUAUUUAUGGUAACUUUAUAUAUCUAUGAUAGAUUGUUGAAUUGAGGACAACUUUGUUGUUAAACUUUUGAUGGCUUUUAUGUUUAAUAAGUGGAAUGUGUAUGCAAAACCUUAAAAAAUUCCAUAUUUGCUUUAAGGUUUAUGGUCUGGAGUUUCAUUUUGCCACUAUUAGGAUAUGAACAUAGCCAUCAAGUCAUUUUAAAGCCUAUUAGGUUCAUUAGUGAGAUUAUGUAGACUCUCAUUUGAAGUAUUUACUCGUGAUAUCGGGGUUAUAACAGUUUAGUAAUACAUGGAUUUGUUUUUCAAGGUUAUUAUUUGUAACGACCCGAUCGAUCGUUUUGAGUAUUUACAUUUCGCUCGGUAGUUUGAGGGUAUGAUUAUCUCCGUAUGAUGUAUAAUGACUUAUGUGAAUCAUCAGUUUUGGUUUUCAGGUUAUUCAGAAUUGAUUUGGAAGAAUGAAUUUCAUCGUUGAAGCUUUAAGUUGGAAGAGUUGACCAAGUUUAACUUUUUUUUUAAUUUGACCCCGGAACAAAGUUUUGAUAGGUCAGUUAGGUUCGGGUAGUAAUUUUGGAAUCGGGCAUAUUCCCAUAUUUGUAAUUGGAUAUAUCUAGAAGGAUUCGGCACUAAUUGGCAAAACUUCGAAAUUUGAAGGUUUGGAAAGUUCAUAAGUUUGACCGGAAGUUGACUUUGAGUAUAUCGGAUUCGGAUUAUGGUUCCAGAAAUUGAAAUAGCUUCAUUAUGUCAUUUGGGACUUGUGUGCAAAAUUUGACUUCAUUCCGGGUUGAUUUGAUGUGUUUCGGCGCUAAUUUUGGAAGUUAAAAGUUCAAGUUCACUUAAGUUCAAUUAGAGGUGCGAUUCAUCGUUUCAACGUUGUUGUGUGUGAUUUAAGGCCUCGAAUAGAUCCGUAUUAUGUCAUGGGAUUUGUUAGUAUAUUCGGACGGGGUCCCGAGAGGCCCGGAUGAGUUACAGACGUGUUUGAGAUCAUCUUUCAUUCAUAUGGGAUGGAUGGCCCUUGCUGAACCUGGUGUGACCGCACCUGCAGAAUAUUGGGCACAGGUGCGGAGCCGUAAAUACGGACAAGUAAACGCAGAAGUGAAGUAAGCUGGAACAGGGCAUCCACAGAAGCGGGGAAGUGGACCGCAUCUGCGGUAGCACAGAAGCGGUAUGAGUGAUCCCAGAAGCGAGAAUGUCCGUAGGAGCGUAGCUUGUGACGCACCUACGCUUGCACAAAAGCGGGUCCUGUUGCGCAGGUGAAGAAGGGUGGAGUUCCAGUGUUUUUCGCUGGAGCGGAGUUUUGUCACAAAAGCGACGUCGUAGAAGCGGCCCUUUUGUUCGCAAAUGCGGAAUUUGCUGGGCAGAACUAUAUAUCGAGGUUUUGGGUCCUUUUAUCAUAUUUUGAGAUGUGGGACUCGUAUUGAGACGAUUUUUGAAGCAAAUUUCAUUACGAGGAUUGGGGUAAGUGUUAUACACUCAAUUUUGAUUAUAUUUCGUGAUUCUAUCUUCGUUUUUGGUAAUUGGAUUAUGAAUUAUAAAGACAAAUUGGGAGUUUUAGCCUAAAGUUUCAUAAAACGAUGUUUUGAGAUUUGAAUGUCGAUUCGGAGUCGGAUUUGAGUGAAACUAGUAUGAUUGGACUCGUAAUUAAAUGGAUUAUCGGAUUUUGUGAGUUUUGUCUAGUUCCGAUAUGUGGGCCCGGGUUUGACUUUUUAGCUUAUUUUGGGCGUUUGAUGAACGAUUCGACCUUUAUCGAUUGGGUUUAUUUUCUUUGGCAUUAUUUGAUGUAUUUGAGUUUUCUUUUACUAGUUUCGAGUCGUUCGGAGGUCAGUACGCACGGGAUGGCAUAUUUGGAGCAUCGCUUGGCUUGCUCGAUAUUGGAUUUUGCUUGUUCAAGGUAUGUAACACUUCUAAACUUGGACCUGAGGGUAUGAACCCUGAUUGUACUUGUUAUGUGAUUUGUUUGGAGGUGACUCGCGUGCUAGGUGACAGGCGUGUGGGCGUGCGCCGUAGAAAUUAAGACUUAGUCAAUUUCGCAGAGUUGUGUAGACAAUUAACCCAUGUAUUUGGAGCUGAGGGUAUGAACACAUGAUUUUUUUUCAUAUGUUAGAGAAAUUGAGUUGUGACUCAUGUUAGAAAUCAUGCUUAGACAAAUGCUGAUAUUAUUGGGAACCAUUGAGGUCAUUUCUGCUGUCAAAUUAUAUGUUUAAAUUGUAAUUGCGUUAUCAGUCAUAUACAUUCAUUGCAUAUCAUAUCUCAGUCUCUGUUGUUAUUCAUUGAUACAUAAUAUCAUCAUUUUGGGCUUGUUUCAUGACAUAGUGAGCCCGAGAGACUGAAAAAAUUGAUGACGGAGUGAGGCCGAGGGCCUGAUUAUGAGGUUUGUAAUACUAUGGCAAGUGAGUUGUCCGUGCGGAUCCAAAUAUUGAUACUAUAGCACGUGAGUUGUCCGUGCGGAUUCAAAUAUUGAUACUAUAGCACGUGAGUUGUCCAUGCAGCACGUGAAUUGUCUGUGCAGAUUAUAGUGCUUGGGCUGAAGGAGCCCCUCCGUAGUCUGCACACCCAAAGUGAGCGUAGUUGAUAUUAUAUUGAGGGAUGGAUCUUCCUUGGACAUUGAUCUUGCCUAAUUAAUUAUACUAAGGGAUGGAUCUUCCUUGGGCAUGGAUCUUGCCUAAUUAUUUAUACUAAGGGAUGGAUCUUCCCUGGCAUGGAUCUUGCCUAAUUAUUUAUAAUAAGGGAGGAUUUUCCCUGGACUGGAUUAGCCCUAUAUAGUACUGAGUGACUGUAUGUCAGUUAUCAUAUAUAUAUAUAUAUAUAUAUNNNNNNNNNNNNNNNNNNNNNNNNNAUCCCUGAGCUGGAUUAGCCAUAUACAAUAUUGAGUGACUGUGCGCGAGUUGUCAUUUAUAUUUGGGCUGAAUCUGCCAUGUACAGUGUCCGAGUGACUGAGCGUACGGCAUAUUGAGCGUGAUGAGUGGAAAUGCGAGACAGUAAGAUAGGGUACUCUAAGAGUGUGAGUACAUGAGUUCAUCACUGUGUUGCAUUGCAUUAGACAUGCAUACUUGAUAUGUAGGCAUAGAGAAGUAUUUUUCCUCGUGCCAUAUGAUAAUAAAAUUUCUUAUCUAUUGUUAAAGUUUUUGAGAAAAAUCGCAGAUUUCAGACUUACUCAUAUUUUUGGUGAUUUCAAUAAAAGAUUUGAGUUUUACUGUUAUACUUGAAAAGAAAAUGUGUAUUUUCCGGAAUUGUGUACGAGCUGAGCAUUUAUUUAUUUAGUUAUUUCUUGUACCAUGUUUAUUAUAUUGUUAUGAAUUGUUGUUGGUUAUUAUAGUUGAACUAUAACCUUUGUCCCAACUCGUCACUACUUUCAACCUAAGGUUAGGUUUGUUACUUAUUGAGUACAUGGGGUCGGUUAUACACAUACUACACUUUUGCACCUUGCGUGCAGAUUUUGGACACUGAUGUUGCUGUGCACGGUGGGAGAUGGAUUUGAAAAUGUAUCUGCGUUCCGUUCAUAGCUGCCUCUUGAUCUUGGUAGCUUUAGAAUUUUAAUUUGUUCAUGUAUAUUUCAAACAGAUGAUGUACUUUAUUUCAUACCACCUUUGUAAAUUCUAAAUCUUAGAAGCUUAUGAUUUGUACUACCAGUCCUUGGAAAAUUAUUGUAUAAAAAUAGUUGUAUUUUUAUUUCUUUUCUUAAUAAAUAUCAUUUAAAUUGGAUAGUUAUAAAUUGGUUUACCUGACGGGUUGGGUUAGGUGCCAUCACGACUAGGUAGAUUUUGGGCCAUGACAUUGGUUUGGAGUUUGUAAAGAGGUUUAGAGUUGGUAAAAGUUAAUAUCCAUGAUUUAAUAUUUAUUAGUCUAAGGUAUUGAGUUAUGGAAUUAGCUUGUGUUAGUAAUUUGCUUACUGUCAAGAAACUGUAAAGAAUUAAAAUAUUGAGCCUUAGACAUCAUGUAUGUCCUUGCAUUUAAAAUUGGAAAUCACUGUUAUUUGGCCAAAAUGAAUGGAUUUUACGUGUCUAAGAGUUGAUCAUUUUAUUUGACUCAUUGGGUCAUGUAUUUGCAAUUAAAAGGAAUAUAAUACAUUAAUUCUGUUUUAUUGUAUUUGUAUUUUUUUCUCUUUCUUUAAUUGCUUGUAGUAUUUUUAUCUAUCAAUAAAUUGCAAAUGAAUAAAAAUAGGAUCGGGUAGUGUGGUUUACAAAGUAGCUGAAAAGAUAAGAUUUUGGGAUGAAAGUUUAAGAGCAAACUUCAUUUAUGGCCAUCCGCUAGAAACUAAUAUCAACCGCUAGCCACAAAUUGCAGUAUGUAUUUUAUAGCCCAAAACUAAUUAAAAGACUAGCCCAAGAUCACUGCCACUCUUCCCCCUCUCUAUGGCAUCCUCCUCCGCUCUCUCCGUUGUUCCUCCGCCGUUGUCAGAAUUCAAAUCACACAAUUCAUUCAUCCUCACCCAACACCACAACCACCACCUCCUCAAAACUCUUACUUCCUUCUCCCUCAGCGAUUAUACUCUAAAGCAGCGUUUUUGAAGUUUGUCAUUACAUCUGAGUUGUUCGAUGAAAUUCAUCUGCGGAUGUCUAUUUUCUAGUUUUGUGGCAGAUUUAAUUUGCUUCUAGAAAUGUUUUUCAUUUAUUAGUCUUAGGUUGGUAGCUACCUACUAUUUUGGUGAGUGUUAGUUUGUACACUUUGGAGCAGUCUUCAUUGUCAUGCCUCGGAGUUGCUCGACGAAAUUCCUUAAUGGAUUUAUUUGAAUGUGAUGCUUCUUAAUGCUUCAAUAUACUAACUCGUAGUAGUUGGAUAAUUCUUGCUCUUUGGUAAAUUUUAACCACCAUUCUUUACACUAACAGAAGCGGUUAAAUUUUAUAUGUAAUUAUAUUAAUUUAUAGAACUUAAAUUCCUUUUUGGAUUGUGGGCCGCAUGGGUUGAGAAUUCUGUCUGUGUUUGUCUGGAGUUUGUGUUCACGAGAUUUAAUGGGUCCCUAAUGGGCAAACAUGGAAGUGUAAGAGAAUUAUACAAAAUAGAUUGUCACUAUACAAUUUAUAUACAAUAGACUGUCACUAUACAAAAUAUAUACAAAAUAGACUGUCACUAUACAAAAUAUAUACAAAAUAGUCUGUCACUAUACAAAAAUAUACUAAAUAGACUGUCACUAUACAAUUUAUAUACAAUAGACUGUCACUAUACAAAAAAUAUAUAUAAAAUAGACUAUCACUAAACAAAAUAUAUACUAAAUAGACUGUCACUAUACAAAACAAUAUACAAAAUAGACUGUCACUAUACAAUAAAUAUACAAAAUGGACUGUCAUUAUGCAAAACAUAUACAAAAUAGAUAUUUCGGGCUAUUAGAUGUAAUAUGUUUGGGCCGAAGGGCCAUUUCGUGUAAGUGAAAAAACAUGGGCUAUUAAAAUUCUGGGAGGCUAUAGAGGGUAGUUUUAUCAAAGUUUAAUUUCUACUAGGCCCAACUUAAGUGACAUAGUGAGUUGGUCCAAUUCCUUAAAAAACAUAAGUUGGCCCGGUUCUUGCAUCCUAGUUUAGGCAAGUGGUUUUAAAAACAAUUAGUUCUUUUUUUAAUAUUAUUAAAAUAGCUUAAUAAUUCUCUUGCUUAAUAAAUUGAAACGCUAUGCAAUUUUAGGCGCGUCUUCAAAUAUUGACAUACUCUUUAACCCACAAUCCAUAAACAUUAUUUUGUGGGGGUAAAAAUAGGUAUGACAGCUCUGGCGACUCUGUUGGGGAGCCUAUAAGAAUUCGAGCUUGUACAUUGAUUAAUUUUUAACUUUUACUAUUUUUGGAUAUUACUAUGUAUAUGAGCCUAAUGUGUUAAUUGUCUCUUAUUUACUACUUUAAUAUUGUUUGAAAUGUACAUAUAAAUUGUCCUCUCUCGCACCCCAUCUGAGUCUUCUGAUAAUUAAUAGUGUUGUAUGUGCUGACCAACUCCAUAAAAUUUUCUUUCUGAGAUAAAGCCAGUAUGCAGAUCUGUUCCUGGUGAAGGAUUUAAUCACACGUGUUUAGGCGGGGAGAACCACUAGUAAAGCUGGAAUCGAUCUACGGCCGACACGUUGACGUUCCUCGGCUUGGGUUGUCCGCCCGAGUAAGCCAAGUCUAGAUAUUUUCUCCUAUAAGAUUUAAAAACCUAGAAGAACAAGCCACAUGCCUGGUUAUCCCUAAUAGGAUCAUUUUGUUGCAUAAUUCAACUUAGCAAAGCUCGACACAAGGGUCAGGUUCGUAUAUGACAUGUAUCCUUUUUGAGACCAUCAUGGCCACUUAUGUGCUACUUGCUACAUCAUUUAGAAGACUUGUUUGCAUUGUUGACCGGCUUUAGAAAAUUAGAGCAAAGUUUGAAAUAAAAAAUUAUUCCCCCGGGUUAGGUACAGAUACCCAAUUUUUACUAACAUUUUUGACAUGGUUCGAUGUAAGGUGUUUUUUUUAAAAAAGUAAUAAUUAAAAUUUUCAAAAUUGGUCAAUUGUUUUUAGUCUUGGUUUGCACUACGCGGAUCUGAUUCUUACGAAUCCAGCGGGAUACGUAGGCAACCUCCAUCGGUUUUGACCCCAAUUUUUGCAAAAUAUUUUAAAAAUCGGUGUGUCCAUUAUAUUUUUCAAAAAAUAAAAUAAAUAAGUUGAUAGUUUUGCCACUGUUGUCCUUUUUAUCAAUGUCCUUAUAUCCAACUAUUUUUUUCAAUACAACCCUAGUAUCUUCCUCGGAAGUAACUGCAGCAAGCCACAGAAACCAUCUUUCAACAACAUGCCCAAUAUCAGGCCAACAUCAUUUAGAUCCGGUCAGAUAUUGAGAAAGACUGCCAGGUCUCCCUACUGGUUAUGGAUGAGGACUUAAAAAUCGCUCGUAUGAACUUGGCAUGUUUGGAGGAAUAGUUGGCAGACAGGGUCAAGUCAUCCCAAAAAAGAUCUGGGAGGGGCUAACCCUCUCAAAUUCAUAAGCUACAAGAAGACUUGAGCAUCGUCGAGGAAGCAAUUCACUAAUAACAAAUAGAGUUUGAUCUUCAGAGGGAGAAAUUUGAGUCAAGUAAGAAUCACCAACUAGCCAAGUUCGAAAUGGAGAAGCGUCGUUAUCAUAAGAUAAUCGCCUGGCUGUAAAAUUACUUGACAGAAGCCAUGAAACAAAGGAUUUCAGCAUUGGACCGCGACGCAGAUGCAUGGAACUUGGCUGACGCCUGUGGGUGGCAAAUCGAUAGCAUGUUUGUGUUCCAAGAGAAUGUUAAAAGGAGGAUACUUGAGAUAGCUGAGUACAUUGCUCUAGGAUGUGCAAAUUGAGAAAAAAUGAACAAAACAAUGUUUAUCGAAUCCGCAAUCAAUCUCGCUCGCCACAUUGCUAUAGACCUGGAGGUCCUGUACAAAGAUCUGUCCAACUAAUUGGGAUAGGGAGCACACCCAACAAAGAUAAUGUCAAGCGAAUAGUCUGCAAAUUUGGAGGUUCUCUGUUGCAUUCGCUUUAUAGGAUGUUUUAGUACGUGUACUUUUAGUUUGAGUCCAUAUGGAGUUUGUUUAUGACUUUUGUUUUUGGAGUCUUUUUCAGUUAGGUCGAGUAUGUUGUAGUUUUCUUUGCAUAUUUUCGUUUCAACAUUUUGUACAAUAAAAAAUAUUGAAAUCCCAAAAAUAUUUUACUUUGAAAAAUGUUGUAAACCAAAAACAAUGUGUGUCUGCUUAUUGGAAAACUCGAAAAUGAACAAAAACAAAUCAACCAAGUGUCGUACGUCCCUGAACUAUGUAAUGAUUUGAUUCAUGCGGUGACAUGAUACGUAGGCAACCUCCAAAAUGUUCGAUCGAAAUAUUUUUCAAAGACUCUAAAAUGAGGGAUCAAAAUAAGGCGAGUGAAAAGAAAAGCAAAAAAAUAAAGAAGAAAAUAAGAGCGUGAAUAAGCAGCAACCUUAUAAGCCGGAAUGAAACAUGAAACCCUCCAUAAGCAUGUUAGAGGUAGUGAUAAUGUUAGGAGCAUGACAUGUUACGUGUGAUUCAUAUCUUUUAAAUGAUUAAUUGUAACACGUUUGUUGUCUCUUAUCUAGUAAGUUUAAGGUAGUUGGUUUGUGGUGAAACUAGCAACACAUCAUUAUUUCACCAGAUCAUAAGGGAAAGGUAGCAAUGACUGACAAUGAUGAAAUUGAUUUGGUCAGUGAUGACCCCCAGGGUCAGUUAGUUGAGCAAGAGUCGGAGGAAGUAAGAAGAUUGAAACAACAACUAUCAGAUGUGUAUUAGGCUUGGGUCUCCGGUCAGCCUCCGCCUCAGGGUCCCUCAAAGGGAACUUCCAUCGUACCCCUCGCUACUCAACCACAUUUCCAUUCAACAAGCGAUCACAUUCUACCACCAGGGUAUGUGCCAAAUUACAGCUUCCCUGUUGUCCUUGGUACCUCAAAUUUGCAAUUUCUAGCCACACUAGUCAGGAACACCCCUCUCGUCAUGUCUGGUGCACCGGUAUAUACAUUUCCGCCACCACCUCCUAUGACGAGGACCAACUAUGAGCCACCACCUCAUACUUAUGAUGGCCAAUACUACUCUCUAAAUAUGGCUUUCUGGGUCUCGACUCUGUACAAUCAUAUUCCUCAGUACGAGUCACCAAUGGAAACUGAAAGGGCUGCCAAGGCGGGUGAGCCAGAUGAGAUACCUAGAAAAAUGAAAAUUCUUGAGCAGAACAUAAAGAACAUACAAGGACUAGGUGGUCACAAAAAUGUUUCAUUUAGUGAUAUGAGAAUGUUCCCUCACAUCCAUUUUCCACCAGGGUUCAAAACCCCAAAAUUUGAGAAGUAUGAUGGACACGGUGACCCUAUCGCCCACUUGAAAAGGUAUUGCAACCAGCUGAGGGGUGCAUGAGGAAAAGAAGAAUUAUUGAUGACUUAUUUUGGCGAGAGUCUGGUAGGAGUAGCCUUUGAAUGGUUCACUGACCAAGAUAUCUCUCACUAGCAUGGUUGGGACAACAUGGCACAUGCCUUCGUCAAACAAUUUUAGUAUAAUAUUGAUAUUGCGCCAGAUCGCAAUUCCUUGUUCAAUAUGAAAAAAAAAGCCGACUGAAAGCUUUAGGGAGUAUGCCAUCAAGUGAAGGGAGCAAACGGCUAGAGUUAAGCCACUCAUGGAUAACCACGAGUUGAUCACUAUUUUUCUAGAGGCUCAAGAGCCUAAUUACUUUCAGAAGAUGAUGUACGCGAUGGGUAGACGUUUUGCAGAAGCGAUCAAAAUAGGGGAGAUGGUCAAAUAUGGCCUCAAGACGGGUAGGAUUGUAAGUCAAGCUUCUCUCAAAGCCACGAUCCAAGCAAUCAAAAAUGGGCCGGGAAGUUUGGCAAAUAGAAAGAAGAGAGAUAAAGGGUCCAUGAUGACUUCAGGGUCUAGAGAAGUUCAAAGAGGGGCAUCGCACCCUUAUGUGCAAGUUCAGCAGGGGCAGUCCAGCUACCCUCAACAUUUCUACCCCCCACCAAUUCCUCAAUAUUUGAUGGGCCCACCACAGUACAUAAUAUUUAAUGCGCAGUCUUAUGCUCAACCUCCCAAUCUACAGGUAUGAACGCUAGCUCCAAGGAUCCCCCGACCUCAGCAGCAAAAUUUUUGGGCACCCUACAAUUCUCGUCCCGGGCUAGACUAUAGUCGAGAGCAGAAGCCGGUGAAAAAAUUCACUCCGUUAGUUGAAUCAUACUUGAUCCACUCCCAAUCCACAUUCAACAAUGAGUGAAAGAGGUCGUUGGAAGAAUAGUACCCAACUAUAAGUUAGGGUCGAUUUCCAUAGGGAGCUAAGAAUGGGUGUUAAAGUGCGCACUUGAUGCGUGUAGAAGAAAUAGCUUAAAUACACUUCCAAACAAGUUUGUGUUGAAAAUUGCUUCUAUGAACUACACUAUUAAUGAUUAACUAGAGAGAUAAAACUAUAAAUUGACUAAUUGUUUUUUGUUGUUUUCAAAUAGGUAAAAAGCCUAGGGAUGUAACCUUUGCCUAGGUGUUCGCCUAAUGGGUUAAUUACGUUAAUACAUGUUUUAGUGAUUAGGGUGUAUUAUAGCUCUCAACUCUAAAUUACCAACUCAAUAUUUCUUGGUCAUAGAAUGAUUUUGCCCAAUUUGGCUUUCUCAAGCCCAAAUAGGUCUUAUGCUAAGUGGUUGAUAUGACCUCAAGUCGGGUUUUCCCUAUAUCUAGUUCAAACCUUUUAACUAGGCUAAUCAAAAGCUUAACUAGCCCAAUUUUUUGUUAGCCAAGUUUUCCUAGACUAGGUCCCUCUUUCUCAAGUAAAGACCAAGUCAAAAAGACAUGAAUCAAUGUUUGUGACCAUUAAUUCUAAAAUUAAGGCAUGAACAAGGCUAAAUAACAAACACAUAAUCAUAAACAAGCAUUAAAUUAAAUACCCAUAAGGUUUACACACUAGGGUUGGGUCACAACCCUAGUUAAUGUCUAGCUACUCAUAGUAGAAAAUGAAGAAAACAAAGAAGAAACACUAAUUAAAGCCAUGAUAUCAAAUUAAGAUGAUAAACUAUGAUGUUGUUGUCCCAAAAUAAUCAUAAAUUUCCCAAAAUGGUAAACUACAAUGGCUACAACUAAAAAAACUUCAAAACCUAACCUAAAUACGUAAUUCCUGACUAUUUAUAGUGGCCUAAAAUUCGCUGACAAAAAUUCCCUUCGAGAGAUCCUGCGGCCGCACAAUUCCAUGUGCGGUCCGCACUUUGCUUAAGCUUGCAAGUUGAGGGAUUCUUCUGCCACACAAUUUAUGUGUAGUCCGUACUUCAGGUAAUGCUUCAGUCUUGGUCAUUUUGCACACUCUUUGUACUUUUUGAACUCUUGUCAGUGCGACCAUGUUCUGUGACCACACUUCUCUUCAUUCCAUCUCUGAGCUUAAAUAAUAGAUCUGCGACGCAAGGAGAUUUUUGCGGUCCGCGCUUUCCUCUGCGGCCGCAUAAAUACUUUUGCGGGGUGCACUUUUGGUCUGAUGUGCCCCUUCUUGCUUUGUGAGCCGGAACACUCCUUAUUGAGUUAGAUUUCUUCAUUUGAGUCCAGAUCUCUAACAUUCCUGCAAUUUGCACACUUUCAUUAGUUUUGGGAACAUAAAUCAAUAUUUCAGACUGAAACAAAAAUAAAAAGGUACUAAUAAGUGGUCAUAAUCCACUCUUAUUAAACUCUCCCAAAUUUAAGUCUUUGCUUGUCCUUAAGCAAAUAGAUUAGUUCUCACCUCCUCGGAGUGAAAGGUUAUUACAACGAGUUAAUGGUAAGACAUUCAUACUCAGUUGGGACCAAUAAUUACCCACACUACUCAUUCAUUAUCAACAAGGUGAAAAGUCAAAUAUCAUGCAUAUAUAGUUCUAAUGUGACAUUUGAACUUCAAUAAUUGACUUUACUCGUCAAAGACACUUUUUUUAUCAUGUAGGUUAUGGUGGACUCCAAACUCUUACUCCUCUACCUUCCAUUUGCCAAUCUCACUUCAAAAGUUAGCACUCAAUCUUAAGAUUCAUGAAAGGUUCACUCUUCUCUCACAAGAGAAUGUCACAAGUACGGCUUGAAGUACCAUAUGCUCGCCCCUCAUGUAGAUCGCCACCAAUGUAAUCUCACUCGGUUUGAAAUCAAGUAGGACUUCUUUCGGGUUGUAAUGAAGGCUAAUGGAUUGGGGUAGGGUACCAUAUGGGUGAGUGGUUACACCUUUCCUUAAGCACUCUAUAUUUUCAUAUUUUGGCUCACAAUUACCAAUUCUUAGAGGUAUUCUCUUUUUCUUGGGGGCUAGAGAGACUUGACAUCACUCUUUCUUGUUCAUUUCAUUCUUUUUCUCCCUUGAUGUUCAUGUUAGGGAUAAUUUGUAAUGACCCGACUUAUCAUUUAAAGAAUUAGCAUCUUUUUUGGUGGCUUAAGGUCUCGAAGAGCUUCGUAAUAUGUGUUAUGACUUGCAUACAAGGCCGAGUUUGGUUUUCGGAGGAUUCAGGAUCAAUUUGAAAGAACAACUCUUGUUUCUAAAGCUUAAGCGAAAAGAGUUGAUCGGAGUUUGAAUUUUGUGUAAACGACUUUGAAAUGGAGUUUUGAUAAUUUCGGUAGCUCCGUAUGAUGAUUUUAGACUUAGGAGCGCGACCAGAUGUUGAUUUGUAAGUUCGUAGGUCAUUUCGAUGUAAAUUGGCAAAAGUUGGAAAAUAAAAUUUAGAAGUUUGAUCGGGAGUUGACUUUAUUGAUAUCGGGGUCAGAAUCCGAUUCUGGAAGUUAGAAUAGGUCUGUAAUGUCAUUUAUGACUUACGUGCAAAAUUUGAAGUCAAUCAGAGUUGUUUUGAUAUAAUCGGCAUCGAUUUCGGAAUUUGGAAGUUCAUAGGCUUGAAUUUGGAUUGCGAUUCGUAUGAUCGAGAUAGUUUUGAUUUUUUUAUGUGUGAUUUGAGGCCUCGAGUAAGUCCGUAUUAUGUUAUGGAACUUGUUGGUAUAUUCGAACGGGGUCCCGAGUGGCUCGGGUGAGGUUUAGGGUAAUUUCUAGGCCAUUUUUAGUUGUUGUUUUUGGCUACAGCAGUGUGCAUUGCGAUCGCGGGGAAUUGGCCGCGAUCGCGAAGAGUAAAAUGGGAAAUAUUGGCCUGUGAAUCGCGAUCGCCUAGAGGAAAAUUCUGUUGCACUGACCCGACUUUGGAAGUUUAUAUCUUGCAAUCUAUUAGGAAUUUCAAGAUGAUCCAAAAAUAAAAGUUAUACCCCUUUCUGUCUAGUUUUUAUAAAAUCAAACCGUUUGGCAUUUGGAGUUUUGUAAAAAUGGUUAUGGUUGAUAAACUACAGGAUGUUUGGGAAGAGUUUGGAAAUCGCAAAGAAGAAAUUUCUGCUGCAGAGAGCUGACUUUGGAAGCUUAUAUCUCGCAAUCUAUAUGGAAUUGCGAGAUGAUAAAAAUAUGAAAAUUGUAGCCCUUGGUAUCUAGGUUUCCAAAAGUUAGACCAUUUGUCAUUUGGAGUUUUCUACAGAAAGUUAUGACCAUUAUACUAGAGGCUAUCUGGAAGAGCUGGGCAUCUUAUUCUUCACGAUCGCGAAGGGCAAAUUUUGAGUUGAGAAAAGUUAUGCUUCACGAUCGCAAAGCAUUUUCCGUGAUCGCGAAGAGUAAAUAUAUGGGCAGAAUAUUAAGGGGUCAAAAUUGGUCAUUUUCUAUAUUUCGUAUUGGGGCGUGAAGCUCGGGUUUGGGCGAUUUUGGAGGAGUUNNNNNNNNNNNNNNNNNNNNNNNNNNNNNNNNNNNNNNNNNNNNNNNNNNNNNNNNNNNNNNNNNNNNNNNNNNNNNNNNNNNNNNNNNNNNNNNNNNNNNNNNNNNNNNNNNNNNNNNNNNNNNNNNNNNNNNNNNNNNNNNNNNNNNNNNNNNNNNNNNNNNNNNNNNNNNNNNNNNNNNNNNNNNNNNNNNNNNNNNNNNNNNNNNNNNNNNNNNNNNNNNNNNNNNNNNNNNNNNNNNNNNNNNNNNNNNNNNNNNNNNNNNNNNNNNNNNNNNNNNNNNNNNNNNNNNNNNNNNNNNNNNNNNNNNNNNNNNNNNNNNNNNNNNNNNNNNNNNNNNNNNNNNNNNNNNNNNNNNNNNNNNNNNNNNNNNNNNNNNNNNNNNNNNNNNNNNNNNNNNNNNNNNNNNNNNNNNNNNNNNNNNNNNNNNNNNNNNNNNNNNNNNNNNNNNNNNNNNNNNNNNNNNNNNNNNNNNNNNNNNNNNNNNNNNNNNNNNNNNNNNNNNNNNNNNNNNNNNNNNNNNNNNNNNNNNNNNNNNNNNNNNNNNNNNNNNNNNNNNNNNNNNNNNNNNNNNNNNNNNNNNNNNNNNNNNNNNNNNNNNNNNNNNNNNNNNNNNNNNNNNNNNNNNNNNNNNNNNNNNNNNNNNNNNNNNNNNNNNNNNNNNNNNNNNNNNNNNNNNNNNNNNNNNNNUUCCAUGGUUAUAUUCAUUCAAUUUAUUAGUGAAAUUUUAAGGAAGAAAUUGGGAUUUUUGCUAAAUCUUUCAAAAAUGAAGAUUUGGAGGUCGAGUUGAUGUCGGAAUUUGGUAAAAUUGAUAUGGUUGAACUCAUAUCGGAGUGGGUGUUCGGAUUUCGUGAAAAUUCUGUCAGGUUCCGAGAUACGAGCCCCGCGUUGACUUUCAUGUUGACUUUUUAAUGUGAAUUUUUAAGUCGGCGUUAUAUUAUCCUAGAAUUGUUUUCGAUGAAUUUUAAUGAAUUUACGCAAUUAAUUUGGCUAGAUUUGAGCCGUCCGGAGGUUAUUUCACGCAAGAAGACUAUUUUGGAAUAUCGACCUAACUUCAAAAAGGUAAGUAUCUUGCCUAAUCUUGUGUGGGGGAAUUACCCCUUAGGCAUUGAGUCUUAUGUGAAAAUUAUGUGAUUGAAAGCCGUGUACGCAAGGUGACGAGUACGUACUUGGUUUAUAUGUACAAAUUAUAUCGAUUAAAAUUCGUAGAUACCCUUAUGUAUUAAAUUGGAAGUUGUUGGCACUUAUUAAAUCAUUUAUUUGUCAUGUCUCAUUCCUUGUUUGUCGAGUUUAUUUUUAUAUGAUAAUUUGGUGUGAUUGUCACUUGACUUUUAUAUGGAUUCUGUGUUCUGUUGAGUUUCCAUUUCAUGGAAAUAAUUUCAUUAAGGACUUUUCAUCUGUAAAUAAUUAAUUAAUUAAAUUUGAAAAGAGGUAUUAAUCUAAUUACGAAGAAUAUGGAUUAAAGAAGGCGUUGUUUUUGCUGAGUUACCUUUUCAUCCUUAUUGUUUUUUGAGAUUUUAUAUACAUUGUGUUGAGCCGUGGGCUAUCUGUUAUGAAAUUAAUUGAUUUCGUUGUAUGUUUGGAAAGGUUGUGGCCUACGGGAAAUUUGUAAAUACGAGUUGAUUAUGUUGUGUUGUUGUGAUAAUAUUCGGUGUGAAUUGUUGUAUGAUUUGGGUUACUGUUAUGCAGCGUAUAAGGGUGGUAUUCCACUGUUAAUAUUAUUCGGGCAUAAGGGUGGCAUUGCACUGUUGUUAUGUGUGUUGGGAUAUUAUCUGGGCGGAGUGAUAAGGGAGGCUAUUAAACCGAAUGAUAAGGGAGGCUAUUAUUGGAGUGAUAAGGGUGGCUAUAUGAGCGAUAAUGGUGGAUAUUGAUAUUGUCAGGGCGGAGGGAUAAAUGAGGCUAUUGUAGGAGUGAUAAGGGUGGCUAUAUGAGCGAUAAGGGUGGACAUUGAUAUUGUCAGGUCGGAUGGAUAAGGGAGGCUAUUAUAGGAGCGAUAAGGGUGGUUAUUGAUAUUGUCAGAGCGGAGGGAUAAGGGAGGCUAUUAUAGGGGUGAUAAGGGUGGCUAUAGGUGAGAUAAGGGUGUCUAUUAUCAGGGAUGAUAUGUGAUGAUGUGGGGUUACUGUAUUGGUAAUUUUUAUGUGAUGAUCUGGGGUUAUUAUGCUGGUGAUUUUAAUGUGAUGUUAUGAUUUUCCUUAUGUUUAUUUUUAUAUCUUGUGCAAUUUAUCUUGUUGUUUCGGUAAACUUGGUAAUAGUUCGAUCCAUGUUGAAAUUGUGAGCCUGUGGCUAUUGCAGGGCGGAUUAUGUUAUUGGCAUUGAAUUGACCGUAGAGUUGUGAUAUGAAAUGUGGGAAUGAGGUGCCAGGUGUCUAUAAUGAUUAUGAUAUUGGCACAUGAACUAUCCGUGCAGAUGUGAUAUGAAAUGUGGGCACGAGGUGCCAUGAGUAAAUGAUGAUCUUAUUAUUGGCACGCGAGUUAUCCGUGCAGAUCUUAUAUAUUGAUAUUUUGGCACGUGAGUUGUCCGUGCAGUUGUGAAAUAGAUACGGGCACGAGGUGUCGUGAAAAUAUGAAAGUAGGUUGAGACCCAUGUUUCAAAAAUAUUAAAGUAGGCUGAGACCCGUAUUUUAUGAUUAUGAGAUGAGGUGUCACACAGUGACUUUUAUUUAAAAGAUAUAUAUUCGAAAGAUUUUACUUUGAAAGAUUUAUAUUCGAAAGAUUUUUAUUUGAAAAACUUAUAUUUGAAAGAUUUAUAUUUGAAGGACUUACAUUUGAAAGACGUAUAUUUGAGGGACUUGAUUAAUUGGUUGUACUUGUGUUCCUUAUUUGUUUGAGAAAUAUUUACGGUGUUCUUGUGGCCUUGUUGUUCAUAUCCUUGAUUGAUUCUUGUUGCCAUCAUUGCUAUUUGUUUUCCAUUAUUAUCAUAUACUGAUGUAUUGCACAGGUUAUUUGAUUAGUGAGUGUCUUGACUGUACCUCGUCACUACUCCACCGAGGUUUGUCUUGAUACUUACUGAGUACUGACUGUAGUGUACUCAUACUACACUUUUACACAUUUCUGUGCAGAGCCAGGUAUUGGAGAUAUUGGACUCGGCAAAGUUAGUGUGUUGAUCGUAAGGAUUCAAGGUAGAGCUACUUGGUCGUCGGAGUCCCUUGGAGUCUUUCCAUUGUAUUGUACUGUUAAUUAUUAUUCGAACAAUAUUGUAUAUUUAAUCCUAGAGAUCAUUUCAUGUAUUCAGCUAGAGUUCGUGACUAAGUAUUACCAGUCUUGGGAGGUUGAUAUAAUUGUUUCCGCUUUUGAUUUCAACACUUGUAUUAAAUUCUAUUUCAAAAAAGGCUUGAAUUGUAAUUAUAAUCGGCUUACCUAGUCUUAGAGACUAAAUGCUAUCAUGACGCCUGUGGUGGAAUUUUGGGUCGUGACAUAAUUAUCUCUUUUUGAUUCCAUCAACCCUUCCUUUUAUUCCCUUUCUUGUAUUUAUUUUUCUUUUUCUUUUCUUGCCUUCUCUUUUCAUAGACAUCAUUUCUUUUCUCUUUUUGGUGCCUUGAUACCUCUUUAAAAUUUCUCAACUCUCCCCCCAAACUUAUGCUUUAAGCCACUUAUUUCACAAGAGUGUUAAGAAAAGUCCGGGUGCCAAGAUAGGAUCAUAAAAAAAUAGGUAAAGGCUUAUAUCAUGGUUAUCAAACGAGAAAAGCUAAAGGCUCAAGGGGGUUGACUAGGGAUAACAUCAUUGGUUGGCUAAAGAAACUCAGACGGACCAAGGAAAACCUACAAUCAUUUCUCAAACCAAGCAAAACUUAGGAUUUCGUCUUGAAGCACAUUCGGGGUAAGUUCUAGACCUUUCGUACGGGUACUUGGACUAGCAACAAAUCACCUCACACCUCACGCAAUUAGACCGUAAAAGAGGAUAGAGUCGAAAGCCUACAACGAUCACAAUCAAGUUAAAGAUCACUAUGGUCCAAUAAACUACUCGAUGAUUACCAAAGUCAACUCAAGAGUCUCAAAGUCACCAACUAGAGCUAUUUUCUUUUAAAAACCUUGUUUCAAACCAUAAGCACUCCGUUAAGUGUGUUGGUACCAAAUGGAGCAUGAAUAACUCUUUUUCGAAAAUGACUUGCUCAUGUCUUUUAUUCAUUACUACUUUAUUAUUAUUACCUAGACACAAAAACGGACUCAUUCCCUUAAGAAGGUCAUCACGCCAUCCAUGAUGUUCAUUUUAUGGGAAUGAUUGGCCGUGAUCAAGAAUACAAGUCGGUUUGUCGAGUAGAAAUGAUAGUGGGAACGAUUCAAGAAGGGGUAGGACUGGAAGUAAGACGAAGCCAAGAUGUGCCUUUGAUUGUGAAUGGCGCCCAGAGAAGGCAACUUUAGUUGUUCCAAAAUCUUGAGGUUUAAAGUCCGCUCAAGUUUUCCAAGACUCGGGUUGCAUGUCCUGAGAGGCCACCCCGUUAUGAGGUAGAAUCAAGGCAGUACAAAACGUAUAACAUAGCCGAUCAUAAUCAAACCCGUUGUGCAACCCCGUGUGACAAACACGAAAAUCAUUCCUUGGAACUACAACAAAACUAUGGUGACCUACAAAGGCAAGGAAAUCAUAGAAGAAGUGGGGGAAACUGGAGGUUUGACUCGAUUGGGGAGGUGUUACUCUCCAGAAGAGUUGAAAAAGAUGAAAGUUCUGGAUUACUCAAUCAUUGACCAGCUGAGAAAGACUCCUGCUCAAAUCUCUCUACUAUCUCUGCUCAUAUAUUCAAAACAACAUGCAUGUUUACUGAUCAAGAUCCUAAACGAGGCACAUGUCUUAGAGAAGACCACAGUGAAUCAAUUAAAGAAUAUGGCUAAUAGAUUUUUUGAGGUGACCAAAAUCUCAUUUACUGAUGAUGAACUCCCCGAGGAGGGAGUCGGGCACUAUAGGGCUUUGCACCUGACUGUCAAAUAUGAGGGGCACUACGUUCGAGUCAUGGAUGAUGGAGGGUCGAGCGUAGACGUAUGCCCUCUCUCUUCCUUGAAAAGCAUGGAGAUCAAUACAGAUAAAAUCUGACUUAAUAAUAUCCGCAUCCGGGCAUUUGAUAGCUCAACGAGAGACACCAUUGGAGAAAUCAGCCUCACCAUGACAAUUGGGCGGGUUGAUUUUGAAAUUGUCUUCAAAGUAGUGGACAUGGAAACUUCUUAUAACUUUCUUCUCGGAAAGCCAUGGAUCCAUAUGGAUCGAGUUGUGCCAUCCACCUUUCACUAGAUGCUCAAGUUUGAACAUGACAUGCAAGAAAUUAUUGUUCACGAAGAAGACGAGUCAUCCAUUUAUAAGGAUCCGUUAAUCAUGUGUAUUGAGGCCAAGGAAAGGUACGAGUCCAUUAUCUAUCAAGUUUUCGAAGUGGUUGUUGUGGACCAUGUUGAGGAAGGAAAGCCUAUUCUACAUCCUCGUCUUUUCUCCACAUCCGUAAUGGUGGUUGCACUUAUACCGAGACAGGGUUAUGAGUCAGGAAAAGGCUUGGGGGCAUCAUUACAAGGAAUUUCGGAACACAUUUCUCCCUUUGAUAACAAGGGUACUUUUGUCUUAGGCUUCAGGCCAAGGCAAGAAUGUGAAGACAAAUUCAAGAACCCCAAAAAACAUGUUUUGGUCUUGUAGAAACCGAUCCCUCACAUUUUCUACACUUUUGUCAAGCCACAACUCCAAAAGGGUCGAAAUUCCUCGGCGUAGAAAAACAUUGAUGAAACUUGCCAUGGCUUCAGCCAGAUAUUUUCUGAAGUGAAUAUGAUCCAUGAUGGUGAAGGCACUAGUCAUGANNNNNNNNNNNNNNNNNNNNNAUUGGCCUAGACACCAUGCUCAACAACUGGGAAGCAACUCCUCUGCUCAUAAGGAAAGAUUCUUGAUAGUUUGCUUUUGCAACUUCUUUUUUGUAUUUGGGUUACUUUCAGGGUUGUAAUCCAAACAUCUCAAUAUGAUCGUUUUGUUUUGAUGUUAACACUUCUAUCCUUUAAAAUUCAAUGAAAUGUAGUACAGUUUCUUAUUAAGUUAUGUAUAUUUUCCUUUUUUCUAAUUCCUGUCAUUUUGCUUCCAUUUCAGUUUUGUUAAUGUCGGCUUUAAUAACAUGACAUGCAUGCAUAAUUCAUGCACAGAUGUUAAAAAGCUAUCUAAUUUCAAAAUAAUACAUCAUGAGGUUGAAUAUGAUGAAGAUGAGGAUGUUGAGGAAAUAAAAAAGUGAUUUGGAACAAUUUGAAAACAAGCCUACUCCCAACCCCAAUGAAACUGAGCCCGAUUAAUAUCGGAAGUCAUGAAAAAGUUAGGGAAACAAAGAUAAGAAUUCACACUGAACAAAAAAUCAAAGAUGCCUUGAUUCAACUUUUAUUUAAAUACAAAGAUGUGUUUGUUUGGUCUUAUGAUGAUAUAUCGGGUAUAAGUGUUGAACUAGUGGUUUAUAAGCUUCCCACGUAUCCUAAUUUUCCACUAGUCUAACAAAAGCAACGAAAGUUUAAAACGGACAUGAGUGAUAAAAUCAAAGAGGAAAUAAUGAAGCAAUUGAGUGCUAAUUUAGUCAGAGUUUUUGAUACACCACUUGGGUGGCAAAUAUUGUGUAUGUGCCAAAGAACGACAGGAAAACCAAAGUCUGUGUUGACUAUAGAGACCUGAACAAAGCAAAUCCAAAGGAUAAUUUUCCUCUACCAAAUGUCCAUAUACUUGUAGAUAAUUAUGCUAAGCACGAGAUACAAUCUUUUGUGGAUAAAUAUGUUGGGUACCACAAGAUUCCAAUGUAGAAAAGACCGCUUUCACCACUCCAUGGGGUACAUAUUAUUAUCGGGUAAUACCAUUCGAUUUGAAGAAUGCAGGGGCAACUUACACGAGUGCCAUGACCACCAUUUCUCAUGACAUGAUGCACAAAGAAAUUGAAGUAUAUGUUGAUGAUGUCAUCAUAAAGUCAAAUACAUAGGCUGAUCAAGUGCGCGAUUUGAAAAAGUACUUCAAACGGUUGCGAAGGUACGACCUUAAGCUCAAUCCAGCCAAGUGUGCAUUUGGGGUUCCGUCUGGGAAACUCCUCGAUUUUAUAGUCAGCAGUAGAGGCAUCUAAUUAGACCUAUCUAAGAUAAAAUUCAUUCGAGAUCUGCCACUCCCGAAGAACAAAACUGAACUCAUGAGUUUGCUCGGUAGGUUGAACUAUAUUAGUAGGUUCAUUGCUCAGCUCACAACCACGUGCGAGCCCAUCUUUAAGUUACUGAAAAAUGAUGUUGUUAUCAAGUGGACGGACGAUUUCCAAAAAGCUUUUGACAGGAUCAAAGAUUAUCUAUCGAGACCCCUUGUACUGGUCCCACCUGAACCUGGUAGGCCUUUGCUUUUAUAUCUAUCUGUAAUGGAUAAUUCCUCUGGAUGCGUUAUGGGGAAACAUGAUGCAACAGGAAAAGGAUCAGACAAUCUAUUAUUUGAGCAAGAAGUUCACCAAUUAUGAGGUUAAGUAUACCCUUUUAGAAAUGACAUGUUCUGCCUUGACUUGGGUCGCUCAAAAGUUGAGGCAUUAUCUUUUGGCCGACACUACCUAUAUAAUAUCCCGAAUGGAUCCUUUGAAGUACAUCUUCCAAAAGCCAAUGCCUACUUGCAGGCUCGCAAAAUGGAAAAUUCUGCUCACAGAAUUUGACAUUGUGUAUGUCACUCACACCGUAAUUAAAGCACAGACUUUGGUAGAGAAUCUAGUCGAUGAUGAUUACGAGCCACUGAGCACAUACUUUCCAAACGAAGAGGUCAACUAAAUAGAGGAAAUAGUUUUGGAUGACAGCCAUGUAUGGAAAAUGUAGUUUAAUGGAGCUGUCAAUACACAAGGAAUUGAGGUAGGGGAAAUCCUCAUCUCACCUAUUGGACAACAUUACUCUGUAAUGGAAUGACUUCGAUUCUUCAAUACCAAUAAUACAGUAGAAUACGAGGCUUGUACCAUGGGUCAAAAAAUGGCCUUUGAUCUGGAUGUGUAUGAACUAUUGGUUAUGGGAGAUUCUGACUUGCUUAUCCUCCAAGCCCAAGGCAAAUGGGAGACUCGAGGCAUCAAUCUUAUUCCAUACAGACAAUGUGUGCAAAACCUAAGCAAAAGAUUCAAGUCCAUCAAGUUCAUGUAUAUUCCCAGGUUUAACAAUGAGCUAGUCGAUGCCUUGGCUACCUUAACCUCGAUGCUCCCUUAUCCAGGCAACACUCAUAUUAAUCCAUUGCAAAUCCAAGUUCGGAAUCAACACGGUUACUGCAAUACAAUUGAGGCAGAACCAGAUGGUGAACCAUGCUAUCAUGACAUAAAACAAUUCUUGAAAAUAAGGGAAUACCCAGAGCAUGCCAAGGGAGAUCAAAAAAGAACUAUAAGGCAGCUCACUGGUGGUUUCAUCCUGAAUAGGGAAAUUUUGUACAAAAGGACCCCAGAUUUAAACUUGUUGAGAUGCAUAGAUUCCACAUAAGCUGAGCAGAUCAUGAGUGAAGUGCAUUCAGGGGUAUGUGGACCUCACAUGAAUGGAUACAUUUUGGCGAAGAAGAUUAUGUGGGCAGGGUAUUACUGGUUUACCAUGGAGCGAGAUUGCUUUAGUUUUGUUUGCAAGUGCCACCAAUGCUAGAUUCAUGGUGACCUGAUUCACUCGCCCUUUUCAGAGUUGCAUCCUAUGUAUUCUCCUUGGCCUUUCGUUGCUUGGGGGUUGGAUGUUAUUGGGUCUAUCGAGCCAACGGCUUCAAGUGGGCAUAGAUUCAUUUUGGUUGCCAUUAUUACUUCACCAAGUAAGUAGAGGCAGUUACUUUCAAAGCAGUCACCAAGAAAGUAGUGGUAGACUUUGUUCAUUCCAACAUCAUCUAUCAUUUUGCUAUCUAAAAAGACCAUUAUCACUGAUAAUGCAGCCAAUCUAAAUAGUCAUCUGAUGGAGGAGGUAUGCGAGCAAUUUAAAAUUAUGCAUCACCAUUCUACCCCUUAUCGACCAAAAGCCAAUGGAGUCGUUAAAACAGCAAAUAAGAACAUCAAGAAGAUUCUUAGGAAGAUGAUCCAAGGGUCCAGACAAUGGCAUGAUAAGUUGCCUUUUGCUCUUUAGGGAUACCGCACGACUACUCGCACAUAUAUUAGUGCAACUCCUUAUCUGCUUGUAUAUGGAACUGAAUUUGUAAUAUCGGCUAAAGUCGAAAUUUCAUCUCUCCGAAUCAUUAUGUAAUCGGAGAUUGAAUACACUGAGUGGGUCAAGACCCUAUUAGAACAGUUAAUGCUGAUUGAUGAAAAACGGCUAACAGCAGUGUGUUUUGGCCAAUUAUACCAGCAAAGAAUGGCACGCGCUUAUAACAAGAAAGUGCACCCAAGGCACUUUGAGGUAUGCCAGCUUGUUUUGAAAUGCAUCCUUUCGCACCAGGUAGAAGCUAAAGGAAAGUUGGCCCCGAACUGGCAAGGACCCUACAUCAUCAAGAAAGUGUUACCAAAAGGGGCCUUGCACUUGGUAGAUGAAGAUGGGCAGGUACCAGACAUGACUAUUAAUGUAGAUGCAGUCAAAAGAUAUUAUGUUUGAUAUAUACCCACAGUGGAACUUUCAUGCAUGAUUUUCUCAGAUCGAGGUAUUUUGUUAGCCUUUUUGAGCAGUAUUUGUCUUUUUUGUUUUCCUUCUUUUUGGAACCUGUGUACUUGUAAAAGCAAAGACGAAAAAAAAAGAAAAAAAGAAUUUUAAAAAAAAAAGACAACAAAUCUUCUGAGUCGGUGAACUACGUUCGACCUAAUUCCAAAAGGAAUACGUAUGCAGCCCUACCUUGGGUUCGGUCCCAUCAAAACAAAAAAUCCAUAUCCCCAAUACUCCAAAAUUAGGGCAGAAGUUUGUUUUAUUUGUUACGGUCACUCUGCAAAAAUAGUUCCCAAAACUUGUAAUUCAGUUUAAGGUUCUUUUUUGUUUUUUCCUGUUAAGACCUUAUGAUUGAUCUCUCAGAAUGUUGAAGUCACCAUACCAAGGUAUUGUACAACCUGCUGCACACAGUAUCUUAGUCCAAAACAAAAGAGAGAGUCUUAUCGGUGAAAACCCAUAUGGGCACCGUAAGGCAAUAAUGAGUAGAGAAAUGAGAGAAUCUUAUUGGUGAAAACCCAUAUGGGCACCAUAAGGUGACGGUGAGUAGAUAAAUAAGAAAGGUCAGUAAGCGAAAACAUGUAAAGGGCGCUACUGGCUGAAUGAGGUUCUUCGAUACUUUGGCAUGAGCACAACCAAGAUAGUUUCAAGAUGGUUUGCAAUAGAUUCUGAGAAUUAGACAGCUCAGACGGAUCAAGCGUCCAGUCCAAAAUUCAUGUCAUGAUUCAUUGAAGUCGAAGAAUACCUCCAAUUACGUCUCCAUAUUCCUCUCCCCGAAAGGGAUACUUUUUGUGUAGACACAAUUCCUUUUUCGCUUUUAAUUGCUUUUAUAUUUUUUUCAUAAUUGUUUCUUUAAUACCGAGCAUAAUUUGGGGCAUAUACAGCAUUGACGAACGCAUGAAUCCAUAUGUGAUCUCUUUUGAUAAGAUGAACAAAGUGUCUCAGAGAAUCUGAAAAGGUCGCCUAAGCAAGACUUGCUUCAUGGGAAUAGUUGAAAAGCACUACAGACACAAAGAUGAUACUAGGUGCAAGACAACUAAACUUGAUUUUAAAGAAAAUAUUGCCUUGCCUUAGGGACAAGGGUUAGCGAUACCAUGGACAUCCAGGUAUGAAAUAGUCGGGGCAACGUCGGAAAGCCAAGGUCUCCAGAAAGAAAUAUAGAGUAUCCGAGCAUCUCAGUACCACGCUGGCAGAAUCGGUUCUUUGUCAACAGUGUCCGUGAAUUCAAACUACUCAGGGAAUCAAGGCCAACAACCGACCACCACUUUGAAAACUCAUAAUUUUUAUUUAUUUGAAGUAGGAACAAAGCAGUGUAGAAUGGAGAUUCUCAAAGGACGAAUGUUACCAAUGGCAGGUUCCUCAAAAUCUCAAUUUUCUUUUUUUUCCAGCAAACAUCAAUAUUGUUCAUACCUCCCAUUUUCGUAGCUUAACUCAGGCAGAACAUUUUGGCCUAGGGGGAUCCGGCUCAUAUUUUCGAGUAGAAGUACUAUUCACUCAUGUUGUUUUACGUAGCUUAACUCAGGUAGAACCUUUUUGCCUAGGGGGUUCCAUCUCAUACUUCCGAGUAGAAGUACUCUUCGCUCAUGCAUUUUUACAUAGCUUAACUCAGGUAGAACUUUUUCUCCUAGGGGGAUCUAGCUCAUAUUUCCAAGUAAAAGUAUUCUUCGCUCAGGCUAUUUUACGUAGCUUAACUCAGAUAGAACCCUUUCGCCUAGGGGAUCCGGCUCAUAUUUUCGAGUAGAAGUACUCUUCGCUCAGGCUGUUUUACGUAGCUUAACUCAAGUAGAACUUUUUAGCCUAGAGGGAUCCAGAUCAUAUUUCCGAGUAGAAGUACUCUUUGUUCAUACUGUUUUACAUAGCUUAACUCAGGUAGAACCUUUUCGCCUAAGAAGAUCUAGCUCAUAUUUCCGAGUAGAAGUACUCUUCGCUCAGGUUGUUUUACGUAGCUUAAAUCAGGUAGAACCUUUUCGUCAAGGGGGAUCCAGCUCAUAUUUCCGAGUAGAAGUACUCUUCGCUCAUGUUGUUUUACAUAGCUUAACUCAGGUAGAACCUUUUUGCCUAGGAGGAUCCAGCUCAUAUUUUCAAGUAUAAGUACUCUUCGCUCAGGUUGUUUUACGUAGCUUAACUCAUGUAGAACCUUUUCGCCUGGAGAGAUCCAGCUCAUAUUUUCGAGUAGAAGUACUCUUUGCUUAGGUUGUUUUAGCUUAACUCAGGUAAAAUAUUUUCGCCUAGGGGAAUCCAGCUCAUAUUUCCGGGUAGAAGUACUCUUCGCUCAGGCUGUUUUAUAUAGCUUAACUUAGGUAGAACCUUUUCGUCUAGGGGGAUCCAUCUUAUAUUUUUGGGUAGAAGUACUCUUCGCUAUGGCUAUUUUACGUAGCUUAACUCAGGUAAAACCUUUUCUCCUAGAGGGAUUCAAAACUUUAUCAGUAAUACAGGAUGCCAACGCCUAGUUAUAUUUUCUUUCAUUAAUAUAGGGUGCCAACCCCUCGUAACAUUCCUUUUUAGUAAUACAGGGUGCCAACCCCUGGUUACGUUUCAUGUAAGUAAUAUAGGGUACCAUCCUCUAAUUCCAUUUCCUUUUGGUAACACAGGGUACUACCCUCCUGGUUGCAUAUCCUCACAUAGUAAGUUUAUAUUGUUGUCUUUGCCUUCCUUUCAACAAAUAAAUUAGUUUAUAGCUUUUCUCUAACAACUCACACAAUGUUUCUAUUGCCAAACUAAGGCAAAAAAUAUUGUUCAUUUUGUUCGUCUUUGAUGGCUUUUCAGGCCCCACCGUAGAGCACAUGUGGCGAUUAAAGCUUGCAAUUCUAAUUUCUCAUUAGAAAAAAGAAGUCUUUCGAUCAUCGGAUAGUUGGGGUUAGCUUUGAUAAUGUGUCAGCAACUCAGCGUCUCAAGAUUUAUCUUCUCAAUUUCGGAUCAGGAAAGCAAGAAACUUAGAUUGAGUCAUAAUAUUUUUUUUUCAAAGAGCAUCAAGAUCCAAUCUAAGGUCAACACAAGCGAGAAGGUCAAGAAUCAAGAUUUGACUCCACAAGACACAAAGAUAGGAAUUUUGUAACUUUAGCUUGCAGACAUAUGUAGUUCUCUUAUCAUUUCCUUUUAAUGUAAGCAACAAGUAACAGUAACAGUAACAACAACAAUAGCAGCAUCAACAGUCUUAAAUCUAGUGUCUGGUAGUCCCAACUACCAGAUUUUCCAAGAACUGCACUGACCUGAUUCCUUUAUAACCAAGGAUAUGUAGGCAACCUCGGAAGCAAGGUUAGGUCACCUUUUUCCAAACAAAUGCUUUCAUUGGAGUGAUACAUGAGCAAAAUUAGUUAUGGUAUUCACUUUCUUUGAACGAAAACGCUUCAUGUUCUUGAGCAAAGAGGGGCAGCUGUAAAUAUCUAAUUUUUUGCUCUUUUUAUUUCUCCUACAUUAUAUUUUUCUAGGUUUAUUGUGUCUGUUUAUAGACUUUACAAUUAGAUUAUUAAUUAGUUUGUUAAGGGGGUUUAAGGGAUUGGAUUAAUGGCCACCUCCAAUCACCACCAAACUUUGACCCCCCCUCUCCCCCCCCCCCCAAUCUCAAUCUCCUCUUUCCAAUUCCAACCUCCAAAUCCUCUAAAUCCUCAUCAAAUCUGGCCAAAUCCAAAACCCUAGCCACCCAAAUUUUCCUCUUUUCUUUCUCGAAUUAGUGACAAAUACGACCACCACACCCCACAAAUCUUAUAGAAAAGUGUAGAUCUCUAGAUUCACCCCCAAAAGCACCACCGUCGCCGCCGACUGCUCUGUUGCCGUCCACCACUGAACUGCCACACCUUCCUUCAGGUUUUCUCCCCGACUCUUAAACGUUCUUUUCUUUGUGAUACGAUGAUGGCGUCAAUGAUAUGGUUUCAAGCGUGACCGAACAAUCAUCUAUCAUCAAGCAAAGGGUUCUCAAAGGUCAGAAUCGUCGCUUCGAGUAGUGGAAAAUACCAAAUCUUGUCCUUUUGCUCUAUUUUUCUUAUUCUUGGCCAACAUGCCAUACUUUGGGUUUCAAUUCAUCUUUUGUAAUUUUAUUAUUCAAUUCUUGGUCUUUACUGAUUAUUAGUGCUCGAAUGUGAUCGUUCCAUGUGUUAGUAUAGUUAUAUUUGAAAUUCUUGUUGUCCGACCUAGCUGGUAUAUUAUAUCCCUUGCCAGUGUGUUAUGCUAGUCCAAAUCAAAAUUAUCUAGCUGCUUAGUUUAUUGUUAAUGUCACCUUUGAAGAUUUUUCAGUUAAUAUAUUACUACUAAUCAAUUGUUCGGUUGUUCAGUAUUAGUUUGCAUAAUUUAAUUUAGUUUAAUCUAACUAGUUGGAGUGCUUAGUUUAGUUACGA